CAGCCGCCGCGGUAAUACCAGCUCUCCGAGUGGUGUGGAUGUUUAUUGGGCCUAAAGCAUCCGUAGCUGGCUAGGUUAGUCCCUUGUUAAAUCCACCGAAUUAAUCGUUGGAUUGCGGGGGAUACUGCUUGGCUAGGGGACGAGAGAGGCAGACGGUAUUUCCGGGGUAGGGGUGAAAUCCUAUAAUCCCGGGAAGACCACCAGUGGCGAAGGCUGUCUGCUAGAACGCGCCCGACGGUGAGGGAUGAAAGCUGGGGGAGCGAACCGGAUUAGAUACCCGGGUAGUCCCAGCUGUAAACGAUGCAGACUAGGUGUUUGGACGGCCACGUGCCGUUCUAGUGCCGCAGGGAAGCUGUUAAGUCUGCCGCCUGGGGAGUACGAUCGCAAGAUUGAAACUUAAAGGAAUUGGCGGGGGAGCACA
rnacentral:rRNA from 1 species